CCCGUUACUAAUUUUUUUCCUCUUUGGAGAAUGGGCCGCGAGCUAAAUCCAUUAUCCCCUCGACAACAAUGGAUGGGGCCAACCAGAGACAUUGCCAAAGGCUAGCCCGUCCUCUUCGCCGCCCAGGUAUGCUCGAACCACCCCCACCUUCCCGUCUGGACCGGAUUCAUCUCCACCCAGCCCUCAGGUCUCCUCAAUCUACACUCGACCCUUCCGCUUCCCUCCUGACUCAGCAAGACAUGUCACUCUGUUUGAUUUGAAGACUUCCCUCCCAGGACUUCACCAAUCCAAGACCUUAACCGAGGACCUUUCCUUACAGCGUCAAGCAGCAAUGGUUGGAGAAGGUCAACUGCCUCGACCCUCUUGGUAACGUCGUCUUUAGAAAGCUUGUGGGUUAUCCUGGUUGAUUAUUGUUGAAACAAAUAUACAAUACAGACAUAAAUAGACUCUUCAAUCACGGGAAUUUGCCAAAGGUGUAAUACAAUCUCUCAUGACUUUUAAACUCUACCUUCGGUGUGUUUCCCUAUGUUCUGUUUUUUCGAGGUUACUUACAUGCAUGGAUGAGUAGCUCUUUCUGUUUCCUUAAGAACUGGAAAGAGCGGAAGUGCCAGAGGAAAUGCUCGCGUGAUAGAAACGAACAUAAUCGAGAUAAGGGUGAACGGAUAGUUAAUAAAUUAUGACCAAUCGGCAAGUUUUUUGAGAAACCAACCAAAUUGAAAGCUACCUCGUGAACUUAUUUGGGUUAAUGAGGGCAAUAUGGUGGCGGGCGAUGGUCAUUUUCGCAAAAGACUUGAUUGUUUGGCUGAUUUAGUAUUUAUCAGUUGUGCACAAUGAAGCUAUGACGAGUAGUCAUAAAGGGUAUGGGGCUUUUUGUGUCGGCGCAGAUGCUGCAAUUAUAUGCACUAAUGUGAGAGUUGGAAAGGAAUUUCGCCAUUUGAAAGGUAUUAGUUUUCGUUUUAUGGAUGGGCCAUGUUCCUAUGGUUGCCUUGAAUGCAGUGUUAUUGAGCUGUCACUUCUGAUAUUUCUGUGCAAGAGUAAUUGAAUCUAAUGUCCGCCUUUGUAUGGAUUAUUUUAAUAUUUUAUUUAACCAUGAUAGGUUUGAUUGUUCAAAAAAGAAUUUAGUCUUGCUUGCUUGAUUUCUACCUUCCCCAUACUUGGAAGUUCUAUGUGUUGAUUAUUUGCAAUUCUUAUAUGAACUUCUAGUUAGUGAGAUAUGACAAAUUGAAAAUAAUGCAAUUGAUAUGAAGUUAUGGGUCAGAGACAGAGACAAGGUAACGAUCAAUCCUUUUGGUGUUGAGAUAGAAGAAAAAUAGUCUGACAUGGUCUACGAAAGAGAAAAAAAAAUCUGGGAGAGAUUAUGUCAGCAUGGAGCUUGCAGUAAUAUACUGAAGGCUGAAGAGGAUUAGGAGGUAAUGGAUGCUGCUAGAUUUUGAAGCAAGACAGCAGCAGGAUCAGUUGGGGUUCGUUGCUAUAUAGAACAGAAAAGAUAGCAACUGAAGCAAGAGAAGAUCAAUUUGAAUUUAGAGAUGCAGAAUGAAGCAUCUAUUGUUGAAGGAGUAGGACUUCUUCUUCUUCUUUUAUAUUUUUAUUUUUUAUUUUUUUACUUUGUGAGAAAUUAAAUUCAGGUUAAUUUUCAGCGUCAUUGGACUAGUGAGCUGUAAAUUUCACCUAGUUAGACACAUAUUGUAGGCUUAUGAAGCAAGCUUCAUAACACAAUUUUUGGAAGACACUAGAAGUAUGAAACCAGCCUGAUUGAAAAGAAAUACAAUAAACUUCUGUUCAUUUGUCAAUUGUUUGUGUUGAAAUAAGUUUGUUUCCAUGUAGGAUUGCUGUAGUCAAAGUGGUUGAAAUUAUUUCAGGUUUGGUACAUCAAUCUUGAGAAGUACAAGGAUGCAAAAAGUCAAAGCCGCAUGAAGCAUUUUGUUCCCCCUCUUUCUCAGCAUGUGCUUCAGUGCAUGUCAAGGGUGGGCAGGGGAAGGGGUGGCUGUAUGCAUGUGGUAUUCCUAUUUUAAAACUGGCAGUAGGAGAUUGAAUUUUGCCCAUUUGGGAAAAUCUUAUACUAAGUUGAUUUCAUUGUUGAUCACUUCAAAAUUUCUUUGUAUUUUUCCUUCUGAUAAUCACAGAUAUGUUGUGGAUUUACGCUCAGUAUUUUUUUCCCCAUAGGAAAUCUUCUAUCCAAUUGUUUGUGUAGUUUUUGAGUGUCUAUAAAAGUUUGUUUUGUUAUGAGGUUUUAAACAAAGGAUAAGGUUGGCAUAACUUAUGUUAUCUUCAUGAGUGAUUAUAGUUUGCCCAGUUGUUAAAAAUUGAUCAGUAAACAUUUUGGAUUCAUUAGUGAAUCAAUGAUAAACUAUCUUUUGUAUUAUUGAAGGUGCUCAAUAUAUUCAAUUGUUGUUUGUUGCCUCUGUGUUUAUACUUUGCUUUAUAAGCUUUCAUAUUAUUUUUACUUUAAAUCAUUUGCUGGUUUAAACUUCUAUAUUGCACAGAAUUCUACGUUAGAUUCUUGUGAACUCUUUAUGAGACUUGUUUCUUGCAGUACAGCUGGUCAUAAUUGUAGAUCUUGUCUGGAAUCACUCUUAUGACCACCCUAAUACGAGUAUUUAUUUUUUGUAUUAUACUUUGCAACUUCUUGUUAUUUAUUUAUUUAUUUUAUUAUUUUUGCAUGUGGCAGGCUUUAGAUAUUUCUAUGGGCAAAGCCAAUUAGUAUUCCCAUUCAUUUGAUGCAAAAUCUCCUGAUUGUUCUACCAUUGAGAUGUCUAAAGCUAACAAUCAGAUUAAUUUUCCUGUUUCAUCUUAUUUCGAGGCACAUCUCUUCCUAGAUCUACAUGAUUUGAUCUUCUAUGAAGUCCAUCCAAGACAUGAGAGUUCACUUGGACUCUCCCAAGGAAAACUGACUCUUGGCUUAUAUGCUGCAGGCGUAAUAAGUAGUUAAUUGAUCUAAAGGGAAAUAAAGGACACGUCAUGGAUCUUAUGAGCUGUCAGGCUGCUGGAAUGUUCGGCAUGUGCAGGAUUCAGGAUAUUUGUGGAAUUCAAUGACUAAUGGCUACAGUAACCUGUGAAACUGAUUUUAAGAUGGAGUAAAUGGAAUUUUCCUUGUAAUGAUAAAAUUAAUGGGACCUAUAUCCACGUUAUUACAGAAGCUUCUCUUUCAAUGCUGUUGGGAUACCUUUCUCAUUUAUGUUCAGCAAGAUGAUGAGCUUGGGCGCAACAUAUUUCUUGUGACAAAAAGGAUAUGGUUCCUUUGGAAGUGAAACCAGAAUUUUAUCUCACUAAAUUGAUGGUAUUUUGCA